AGAAACAUAACUCAAAAACCCUAGAUCGAAAAAAUAAAGGUUUUGAAAGCAAUAGUUUUAAAGGAAAUAUCAAAAAUCAUUUUAAAAGCUUAAGGAAAGCUUGGAUCUAGAACAGAUCUAAAGAAAUUAGAAGAACCACAAAAGCUAGGGUUUCAGAGGAACCUAAAUGGUGAGAAAGACUUGGAUCAUUGUUGAUCUAACUAGGAGGAGUCGAGUCCUGGCUCGAAACAGGCAUGGCUUGCCGGAGCAAGGUCAGAGAUGGCCAUAAAUCUUGAACCAAACCAGGUCUAGAUGAAGUUUCUUUGUAUUCAGACCAUAAAAACUCAACGAACAAGUAUGUAUGAACCUUAUAGGACCGGUGGGCGGUGAAAUCACCAUAGAAUCAGGUUAGAAGGUGGCCAGAGAAAGUGAGUGAGACUCAUUGGAGCUAAAGGGGAGGGGAAAGGUUCUAGAGAGAAAUAGAGAUAAA
rnacentral:lncRNA from 1 species